UCUCCAUCCUCUUUUGUUUCACGGAAGAGAGAGCUGCUCAGACAUUCUGCUAAACAUCUUUUUUCUGUUUUGCAGUCAUACAGGAACAACAUGAGGGUUGUCAAGCUGGCCUGAGAGUUUGUUGGAAAAGUGUCUGAGACUUUGCCAAAGUUUGCCCUAAGUCCCAAGUGAUUAUUUUCAAUGAAAGAGACCCAUCUCAGGAGCUCAAUGAAGCAGACAGCAUGUGCCGCCAAUUCAAGCAAUCAUGACUGAACCACAAGUGUGCCGCCCGUAAAUCCAGUGUUGAUGACUGCCUGUGUAUUUUGCCAAGAGAAAGACUGGUCUCCAAAGGCAAGUCCCACUCCAGCCCCCAACCAGACGAUACCUUUUAACCACAGACCUGUAUAGUGUGUGGAUUAGGGCCGGGGCCUUACGGAUUUUCAAUAUUCAUACUCAUCAUAGUGGAAACAGCCCUCUGAGCAGUCACUGAGGAACUCAGAAACUUGGGAGAAACUUAAUAGGAGAGAUAAAUUCAGCCUUCCCAAUGUGCGUAAUGUGGAGAGUCACAUUCUUAAUGUAAGGAGGGAUAUCGUUUUUGCUUUCUUUUUGGGGAUUA